rnacentral:lncRNA from 1 species
AUUCAGAUGCUCGUUUGUUUAGUGGGGGAUGAAAAGAUCCAGCCGGAGCUUGGUACCGCCCGACGUUUUUUCAAGACCAUCUGGAGUUAGUGGCGGACCACGGAGCCCACCGAACCGCAACCCAGUGCCAAGAAAAACUGAAACAAGGACCAGAACUCAAAGAGCGGGCCUGGAAAGAUCCGGGGAUGGUUCCAACAGAUGGACAAUCUACGGCCACCGACUUGUAAACACCGGGACGGACCAGGACUCUGCCACGGCGCUGCUGGAGUCGCUGAUGGAGGAUAAUGUGAGGACAGUUUGGUCUCCCCACCUGAACUCCCAGACUCCCUGCCAUGACAGCAGCUCCAGCCACUGAGCAUCAACACCAGCACCAUCUUCUCCUCCUGCACAGGGACCGUCUCCUCCACCUGCUGCUCUACACCAUAGGCCAGAGAACCAGGACCCUGUUCCAGCCAGACGUCUCUGCUGUCCUGCCAGAAACCCUUUCUGAGGAUCUGGAGCAUCAGAGGCAGAACCGGAUCCAGCGAGACCAACAUCUGAACUGGUCCUCAGCGAGGCUGGAGAAUCCAGGGAGCAGGAGGGAAGAGAGUGACGCCAUGCUGCUUUCAGUCAGGCCGUUCUGGGUUCUGACAGGACCUGCUCAACACGGAGGAGGCCGGGAUCCAUGAGCUCCAUCAAUAACACAACUGCAUUUGUUUUUGUUGUGGAGUUGUAAUUGAUAUUAACUAUCAAUAAAGUUUUUGUUUAA